CUGAACGUUUAUCAAAUGGUACCAUAAGCUUGUUGUCGAUAUAAAAAGGUGAGAUAAAAAAUUUCCAUGAUAUAAGAAAGAGAUAUAUCUCGUAACAAAGGAUACAAAUAUAGUUCAUUAUAUUAAUAUAUUAUACAUACUGAGGUACGUUCACAUAAAUUGUACCAAAAAUGUUCAACUCAAUAUUUAUUAUGUUCCAUACCAUAUCUAGAAACACACCCCAAAGGCCCAAAACGACAACAAUAUAUAUGCUUCUAUUUGACAAUAUUGGAUCAUAAUUGUGUAAACAUUUCUUGUAACCCGUAACACAAAUACAUGCUGCAUCGUCUUAGUUCCCUCUACCAGUUACCCAUGGACCUUGGACACUAAUUGUCUACAAACAAGCACUAAAACUUACACAUGACAAGUUUAUGCUUCAUUCUGAACAUGUAAAGUUCUGAUCAUUAUUGAUCAGUAGCUAGCUUGUAAAAUUUCCAACUUUUAGCACCAUGAAUAAAAUUCAGAAUGAAAUGAGGAUGAAUAUCAUCACACGAUUGACCAAAAUGACAAUACAUUGUUUCUGAUCAAUAGAAACACAAAUGCAGGUCACUAGAAUUUAAAUGUUGAUAUAAUCUUUGAUGCCUGCUUCAGAAUCCGAUGCCAAGGAGGUGCGCAGCUGGGUUAAGUCGCGGCGGCCGCACGACAUGGAUACACUGCUGCCAUCCGCCAUCAACACUUUGCCGCCGACGAACAAGGGGAGGGGAAAGAAUUGAAGUGAACCUAUUGGAUCUGAUCGUCUGAUAUACUCUCUGAUCUACUCGUUCUACAGUUUGCAUUAGAUUGGAUGAAUUAAAAAGAAAAAAAAAAGAAGAGGACGGUGAAGGCUUUUGCUAUCCUGUGGAUGUGGGCCUUCACACUUAAAUUGGGCCUAUCAAUAUUUUUUGACAAACAGUUGGGCCUAUGUAAUGAUGCUGAGUUUCCUUUUUUUUAGUCAGAAAACGUUCCGACUCGGUCCAUUGUAGAUGGUCGACCUCCUUUCUGAGUUAAAUAAGUAACUGUAUAUAGCAAUGUUUUAAAUAUUGGGCUAAGUCUCUUAGCGGCAGCCUCCCUAAAAGGCUAAGAAAAGCUAUAGCGCGCUAAUAGCGGGCUAAGUCAUUUAGCGGCUG
rnacentral:lncRNA from 1 species